GUCGGUCCUCGGUAGUGGCUUCCGGGCAGAUGAUGCCCGUGGGCCUCGAUCGAAGACCGGC
ncrna:unclassified sequences Actino-pnp RNA